AUGUUGCGAGAGGGAUAGAAGCGGCAUCCUCGCUUUGGCAACAAGAGCCAAAGGGAGAUAUAGCGGAUAGCCCGACGCUUU
rnacentral:sRNA from 1 species